rnacentral:rRNA from 1 species
CCUACGGGAGGCAGCAGUGGGGAAUAUUGGACAAUGGGGGGAACCCUGAUCCAGCGACGCCGCGUGAGUGAAGAAGUAUUUCGGUAUGUAAAGCUCUAUCAGCAGGGAAGAAAGAAAUGACGGUACCUGACUAAGAAGCCCCGGCUAACUACGUGCCAGCAGCCGCGGUAAUACGGAGGGGGCAAGCGUUAUCCGGAUUUCCUGGGUGUAAAGGGAGCGUAGACGGCGAUGCAAGUCUGAAGUGAAAGGCGGGGGCCCAACCCCUGGACUGCUGUGGAAACUGGAUGGCUGGAGUGCAGGAGAGGUAAGUGGAAUUCCUAGUGUAGCGGUGAAAUGCGUGGAUAUUAGGAGGAACACCAGUGGCGAAGGCGGCUUACUGGACUGUAACUGACGUUGAGGCUCGAAAGCGUGGGGAGCAAACAGGAUUAGAUACCCCUGUAGUC